AGAGUUUGAUCCUGGCUCAGGAUAAACGCUGGCGGCGUGCUUUAUGCAUGCAAGUCGAACGGUUCUUCCCGCAAGGGAAGGAUAGUGGCAAACGGGUGAGUAACACAUAAGUAAUCUGCCCCUAAGUAGGGGAUAACUCUGAGAAAUUGGAGCUAAUACCGUAUGUGGUGAUGGGGGUAAUGCUCUAUUACUAAAGCCUUUGGGCGCUUAGGGAGGAGCUUGUGUCCGAUUAGCUAGUUGGUAGGGUAAUGGCCUACCAAGGCUUUGAUCGGUAGCCGGCCUGAGAGGGCACACGGCCACACUGGCACUGAAACACGGGCCAGACUCCUACGGGAGGCAGCAGUGGGGAAUCUUGCACAAUGGGGGAAACCCUGAUGCAGCGACGCCGCGUGAGCGAUGAAGCCCUUCGGGGUGUAAAGCUCUUUCGGCAGGAACGAUAAUGACGGUACCUGCAGAAGAAGCUGCGGCUAACUACGUGCCAGCAGCCGCGGUAAUACGUAGGCAGCAAGCGUUGUUCGGAGUUACUGGGCGUAAAGAGUGUGUAGGCGGUUCUCUAAGUUUGGUGUGAAAUCUCCCGGCUUAACUGGGAGGGUGCGCCGAAAACUGGAGGGCUUGAGUGCGGGAGAGGAGAGCGGAAUUCCUGGUGUAGCGGUGAAAUGCGUAGAUAUCAGGAGGAACACCUGCGGUGUAGACGGCUCUCUGGACCGCCACUGACGCUGAGACACGAAAGCGUGGGUAGCAAACAGGAUUAGAUACCCUGGUAGUCC
rnacentral:rRNA from 1 species